UGUGUGUGUAUGUGUGUGUGUAUGAGUGAUUGAACACACAAUAAAUUUGUCUUAGAGCAAAUGCUCUCAGUAUACAUAAAAAAAGAUACAUUCAUCAAGAGUCAAGAAUCAUAAGGUACAACACUUAAUAAUAGUCAUA